rnacentral:rRNA from 1 species
CUGACCUGCCCAAUGAGGAAUUGAAUGGCCGCAGUAUUUUAACUGUGCUAAGGUAGCAUAAUCAUUUGUCUUUUAAUUGAGGGCUGGAAUGAAAGGUUGGACGAGAUAUUAACUUUCUUUAAUUUAAUUUUAAGAAUUUAAUUUUUUAGUUAAAAAGCUAAAAUUUAUUUGUUGGACGAGAAGACCCUAUAGAUCUUUAUAAUUUUAUGUUUUAAUAGUGUAGGGAAUAUUUUUUUAAAGCAAAAUAAUUAUUUUGUUGGGGUGACUGUAGAAUUUAAUUAACUUCUAUUUAUUGGAAUCAUUUAUUAAUGUUUUAUUGAUCCAUAUAUUUAUGAU